AUGAUGCCUCUGGCUUGCGCGCUUGGGGAAGAAAACGUAGCCACCUUCCUAAUACUAAAGCUGUUUCCAAGAGAGUUGCAAGAUGAAAACCACGACCAAAUCAAAUGCACGGACGACAACAUCAACAGCAGCAUGCAGAUCGAUGAUCUCGCCUCCUCCCUAGCGCAGCAGAUCCUUGGGCGCUGCUACCCACUAUUCAGGAAGCGCCAGUCACUAGGACCACAAAUCAACAGAUUCAACAGCACACAAAGACCAUGGGUUGGUGGAUUCACAAGAAAAGGAAGAGGAACCAUAUGUUACAUGUACGAGAGCUUGAGGAUUUGCUGGCCGAGCUCAACAGUGCCGCCUUGCUGA
rnacentral:rRNA from 1 species